rnacentral:misc_RNA from 1 species
UCCGGCUUAUCACCGGCAGUCUCCCUAAAGUGCCCGACAUUACUCGCUGGUAACUAAGGAUAAGGGUUGCGCUCGUUGCGGGACUUAACCCAACAUCUCACGACACGAGCUGACGACAGCCAUGCAACACCUGUAAUAGUCCAGCCGAACUGACUACCUAGUUUCUUAGGUAUACGACUAUUAUGUCAAGACCUGGUAAGGUUUUGCGCGUAGAAUCGAAUUAAACCACAUGUUCCACCGCUUGUGCGAGUCCCCGUCAAUUCCUUUGAGUUUUAAUCUUGCGACCGUACUUCCCAGGCGGAGUGCUUAAUGCGUUAGCUGCGACACUGAGACUAUAGUCCCAAUAUCUAGCACUCAUCGUUUACUGCGUGGACUAC